rnacentral:ncRNA from 1 species
GGGUGCGCAUCAUGCGCACAGGUCAUGGAAGUCGAAAUCCGCUAAGGAGUGUGUAACAACUCACCUGCCGAAUCAACUAGCCCCGAAAAUGGAUGGCGCUGAA